ACGGCUGGAACGGCCGCUAAUACCCCAUAUGCCGAGAGGUGAAAUGAAUUUCGCCUGAGGAUGAGCCCGCGUCUGAUUAGCUAGUUGGUGAGGUAAGAGCUCACCAAGGCAUCGAUCAGUACCUGGUCUGAGAGGAUGAUCAGCCACACUGGGACUGAGACACGGCCCACACUCCUACCGGAGGCAGCAGUGGGGAAUUUUCCGCAAUGGGCGAAAGCCUGACGGAGCAACGCCGCGUGAGGGAUGAAGGCCUCUGGGCUGUAAACCUCUUUUCUCAAGGAAGAAGAUCUGACGGUACUUGAGGAAUAAGCCACGGCUAAUUCCGUGCCAGCAGCCGCGGUAAUACGGGAGUGGCAAGCGUUAUCCGGAAUUAUUGGGCGUAAAGCGUCCGCAGGCGGCCCUUCAAGUCUGCUGUUAAAAAGUGGAGCUUAACUCCAUCAUGGCAGUGGAAACUGUUGGGCUUGAGUGUGGUAGGGGCAGAGGGAAUUCCCGGUGUAGCGGUGAAAUGCGUAGAUAUCGGGAAGAACACCAGUGGCGAAGGCGCUCUGCUGGGCCAUAACUGACGCUCAUGGACGAAAGCCAGGGGAGCGAAAGGGAUUAGAUACCCCUGUAGUCCAGGCCGUAAACGAUGAACACUAGGUGUCGGGGGAAUCGACCCCCUCGGUGUCGUAGCCAACGCGUUAAGUGUUCCGCCUGGGGAGUACGCACGCAAGUGUGAAACUCAAAGGAAUUGACGGGGGCCCGCACAAGCGGUGGAGUAUGUGGUUUAAUUCGAUGCAACGCGAAGAACCUUACCAGGGUUUGACAUCCUGCGAACCUCUUGGAAACGAGAGGGUGCCUUCGGGAACGCAGUGACAGGUGGUGCAUGGCUGUCGUCAGCUCGUGUCGUGAGAUGUUGGGUUAAGUCCCGCAACGAGCGCAACCCACGUCUUUAGUUGCCAGCAUUUAGUUGGGCACUCUAGAGAGACCGCCGGUGAUAAACCGGAGGAAGGUGUGGAUGACGUCAAGUCAUCAUGCCCCUUACAUCCUGGGCUACACUAUGUACUACAAUGCUACGGACAAAGAGCAGCAAGUUCGCGAGGACCAAGC
rnacentral:rRNA from 1 species